rnacentral:rRNA from 1 species
GAUGAACGCUGGCGGCGUGCCUAAUACAUGCAAGUCGAGCGAAUGGAUUAAGAGCUUGCUCUUAUGAAGUUAGCGGCGGACGGGUGAGUAACACGUGGGUAACCUGCCCAUAAGACUGGGAUAACUCCGGGAAACCGGGGCUAAUACCGGAUAACAUUUUGAACCGCAUGGUUCGAAAUUGAAAGGCGGCUUCGGCUGUCACUUAUGGAUGGACCCGCGUCGCAUUAACUAGUUGGUGAGGUAUCGGCUCACCAAGGCAACGAUGCGUAGCCGACCUGGGAGGGUGAUCGGCCACACUGGGACUGAGACACGGCCCAGACUCCUACGGGAGGCAGCAGUAGGGAAUCUUCCGCAAUGGACGAAAGUCUGACGGAGCAACGCCGCGUGAGUGAUGAAGGCUUUCGGGUCGUAAAACUCUGUUGUUAGGGAAGAACAAGUGCUAGUUGAAUAAGCUGGCACCUUGACGGUACCUAACCAGAAAGCCACGGUUAACUACGUGCCAGCCGCCGUCGUAA